rnacentral:rRNA from 1 species
AAGGCAAGCGGAUCUCUUAAAGCUGUUCUCAGUUCGGACUGCAGUCUGCAACUCGACUGCACGAAGCUGGAAUCGCUAGUAAUCGCGGAUCAGCACGCCGCGGUGAAUACGUUCCCGGGCCCUGUACACACCGCCCGUCACACCAUGGAAGUCUGCAAUGCCCGAAGCCGGUGGCCUAACCACUUAUGUGGAAGGAGCCGUCUAAGGCAGGGCAGAUGACUGGGGUGAAGUCGUAACAAGGUACC